rnacentral:rRNA from 1 species
CGGCAACAGCUCAGAUUUGAAAUCUGGCCCUAGGCCCGAGUUGUAAUCUGUAGAGGAUGCUUUUGGUGCGGCGCCUUCUGAGUUCCCUGGAAUGGGACGCCAUAGAGGGUGAGAGCCCCGUAUAGUUGGACGCCAAACCUUUGUAAAGCGCCUUCGAC